rnacentral:rRNA from 1 species
UACAGAGGGGCAAGCGUUAUUCGGAAUUAUUGGGCGUAAAGGGCGCGUAGGCGGCCUGACAAGUGGAUGGUGAAAUCCCUCGGCUUAACCGAGGAACUGCCAUCCAGACUGUUGGCUUGAGACCGGGAGAGGUGAGUGGAAUUCCCAGUGUAGCGGUGAAAUGCGUAGAUAUUGGGAGGAACACCAGUGGCGAAGGCGGACUCACUGGCCCGGUACGUGACGCUGAGGUGCGAAAGCGUGGGAGCAACAGGG